rnacentral:tRNA from 1 species
AUUUAAAUAAUUUAAUUAAAAUAUUGAUUUGUGGAAUCAAAAAUAUAUAUUAGUAAUAUAUUUUAAAUA